rnacentral:ncRNA from 1 species
AUAAACACAAUGAACAGAAGAAGUACAAAAGGCAAAAGUUCAGAGAGAACGUGGUUGGUGCGAACGUUCCUUGCGCUUUUUGGAAAUGCAUCUGGGAGUGGCUUAAACGACAAGUAGUUUGAGACGGUUCACUUACGUUACAAGUUAGAGGCAGUUUACUGCAAACAAAAGUGGAACCACGUCUAGACGUCUUUUGA